rnacentral:tRNA from 1 species
GCAGUCAUGGCGGAAUUGGUAGACGCACAGGACUUAAAAUCCUGCGGACUAAUACUCCAUCCCGGUUCGAUUCCGGGUGACUGCACCA